rnacentral:rRNA from 1 species
UGUUGCCUACGGGACGCAGCAGUGAGGAAUAUUGGUCAAUGGGCGCAGGCCUGAACCAGCCAAGUAGCGUGAAGGAUGACUGCCCUAUGGGUUGUAAACUUCUUUUAUAUGGGAAUAAGGUUUUCCACGUGUGGAAUUUUGUAUGUACCAUAUGAAUAAGGAUCGGCUAACUCCGUGCCAGCAGCCGCGGUAAUACGGAGGAUCCGAGCGUUAUCCGGAUUCAUUGGGUUUAAAUGGAGCGUAGGUGGACAGUUAAGUCAGUUGUGAAGGUUUGCGGCUCAACAGU